CAUACUUCAUUUUUUUCUUUGUGUCAAACAUAGCCCUGAUCUGGACUUGGUUCAGAUUAUAUUGCCAUGGAGUCUCAUGGCCAUCAUUGACAGUAAUGUCGGCGGCUAUGUCCUGAUCCCAUGCAAUAGGAAUCGGUACCUCCACUUCAUCCUCGGAAUUUUCAGAAUCCAGAUCCUCUGCAAACCCAUCCUCGUUCUCUUCCUCCC
rnacentral:lncRNA from 1 species